rnacentral:tRNA from 1 species
GGGCCCGUAGUCUAGCCGGUUAUGACGUCGCCUUCACACGGCGGAGAUCCUGGAUUCGAAUUCCAGUGGGCCCA